AAUCAAGUGCCUUAAGGGUGUUCGGUGGAUGCCUUGGCGCUGAGAGGCGAUGAAGGACGUGCUACGCUGCGAUAAGCCGUGGGGAGCUGCGAAGAAGCUUUGAUCCAUGGAUUUCCGAAUGGGGAAACCCACCUUCGAUAGCCGGAACUCCAAGACCUUUGUCGAAAGACAUUGGUGUGGGGUUCGAUCAGAAAUGAGAGAUGCCUGGACCUUUAGAUUUCGAUCGAAGAGGUUUUGGAUUUCCGGUUAUCAAGAGAAGGUAUGAGACUUCUGAAUACAUAGGAGGUUUCAAGCAAACCCAGGGAACUGAAACAUCUAAGUACCUGGAGGAAAGGACAUCAACAGAGACUCCGUUAGUAGUGGCGAGCGAACGCGGACCAGGCC
rnacentral:rRNA from 9 species